UGGGGAAUAUUGCACAAUGGGCGCAAGCCUGAUGCAGCCAUGCCGCGUGUGUGAAGAAGGCCUUCGGGUUGUAAAGCACUUUCAGCGAGGAGGGAGGGUUCAGUGUUAAUAGCACUGUUCAUUGACGUUACUCGCAGAAGAAGCACCGGCUAACUCCGUGCCAGCAGCCGCGGUAAUACGGAGGGUGCAAGCGUUAAUCGGAAUUACUGGGCGUAAAGCGCACGCAGGCGGUUUGUUAAGUCAGAUGUGAAAUCCCCGCGCUUAAC
rnacentral:rRNA from 1 species